ensembl:misc_RNA Metazoa_SRP Metazoan signal recognition particle RNA
GCUGGGUGUGGUGGUGUGCACCUGUAGUCCCAGCUACUCGGGAGGCUGAGGCAGGGGAAUCGCUUGAACCUAGGAGGUGGAGGUUGCAGUGAGCUGAGACUGUGCCAUUGCACUCUAGCCUGGGUAACAGAGCAAGACUCUGUCUCGA